rnacentral:rRNA from 1 species
UGGGGAAUAUUGCACAAUGGGCGAAAGCCUGAUGCAGCAACGCCGCGUGCAGGAAGACGGCCCUAUGGGUUGUAAACUGCUUUUCCAGGGGGAGAAUUUUUCCGUCGUGACAGGAAUUGACGGUACCCUGGGAAUAAGCAUCGGCUAACUCCGUGCCAGCAGCCGCGGUAAUACGGAGGAUGCGAGCGUUAUCCGGAUUUAUUGGGUUUAAAGGGUGCGUAGGCGGAUAGAUAAGUCAGUGGUGAAAACCUGCAGCCUAACUGUAGACUUGCCGUUGAUACUGUCAGUCUUAAGUAUGGUCAAGGUAGGCGGAAUGUGUAAUGUAGCGGUGAAAUGCUUAGAUAUUACACAGAACACCGAUUGCGAAGGCAGCUUGCUGGGCCAUUACUGACGCUGAUGCACGAAAGCGUGGGGAUCGAACA